rnacentral:antisense_RNA from 1 species
CAUUAUGGUGGGUUGGCGGUGGCGCUCCGGCGCGCCGGUUCCUUUUUCCCGGUAAGACCAACGCCGUCAGCUCACCACCCUG